rnacentral:rRNA from 1 species
AGAGUUUGAUCAUGGCUCAGGAUGAACGCUAGCUACAGGCUUAACACAUGCAAGUCGAGGGGAAACGACAUCGAAAGCUUGCUUUUGAUGGGCGUCGACCGGCGCACGGGUGAGUAACGCGUAUCCAACCUGCCCACCACUUGGGGAUAACCUUGCGAAAGUAAGACUAAUACCCAAUGACGUCUCUAGAAGACAUCUGAAAGAGAUUAAAGAUUUAUCGGUGAUGGAUGGGGAUGCGUCUGAUUAGCUUGUUGGCGGGGUAACGGCCACCAAAGCAACGAUCAGUAGGGGUUCUGAGAGGAAGGUCCCCCACAUUGGAACUGACGACACGGUCCAAACUCCGUACGGGAGGCA